UACAAAUGAAUCUCUAUUGCCUUACGUGAAGUUAUCACCUAAAAAACGCCCUCAGGCACCUAUUUACUAAUUCGUGAUUAUACCCUGACACAGCUUGUCUCAACAUUUGUUUUGCACGUCUUUGAGUCUGUUAAAGGAGCCAUCCUGCCAGAGAAAUUGAAAACUACGCGGACUUUUAAAAGUACUUUUUUUACGUCUACAAGGAUAAGGUCAAUUAUAAAGGCAAUGGAUAUCCUUGGUGGACGUUUGGUCAUUUUGGCCUCGCUACCGUUAACCAUAGUUUCCUCACAACUAAUGCCGCUUGGAAACUUCUUAAAGCAUCCGGGCGAGUUUCUAAAUGGACACUUGAUGAAGACCAUCACAGCUAAUCGAAUAGAUUGUUCGAUGGCAUGUGCAAAUCUGUUUGGAUGUCGUUCUGUUAAUAUUUAUAAAUAUAUCAAUGGAACAGAAAUGUGCGAAUUGAACGACUCGUCUAAGUCAUCAGCCCAUCCUGGAUCAAUGGUGUCUAGGACAGGAUACGACCAUUACGAACUCACGUCAAGAAACGGUUGCAGCACAGAAAUAUGUCUGGGAUCAAAGGAAUGGAAGAUAUUUAACUCUUCUCAAUUUCGACUCUUUGAAGACCGAGUAACCUGGGGUGAGGCCAGACACAAAUGUCGCGCACUGAAGGGGGACCUGGUAUCGAUUCAUAGUCAACA